UAAGCGUCUGGGGUAAGUCGCUGCCAUCAGCCCCACUGAUGAGUCUGGGUAGUGACUCCAAAACGAAACGCAUC
rnacentral:hammerhead_ribozyme from 17 species